AAUAGGAUACCCCGGUAGUCCACCCCGUAAACGUUGGGAACUAGUUGUGGGGUCCUUUCCACGGAUUCCGUGACGCAGCUAACGCAUUAAGUUCCCCGCCUGGGGAGUACGGCCGCAAGGCUAAAACUCAAAGGAAUUGACGGGGACCCGCACAAGCGGCGGAGCAUGCGGAUUAAUUCGAUGCAACGCGAAGAACCUUACCAAGGCUUGACAUACACCAGAACACCCUAGAAAUAGGGGACUCUUUGGACACUGGUGAACAGGUGGUGCAUGGUUGUCGUCAGCUCGUGUCGUGAGAUGUUGGGUUAAGUCCCGCAACGAGCGCAACCCUCGUUCUAUGUUGCCAGCACGUAAUGGUGGGAACUCAUGGGAUACUGCCGGGGUCAACUCGGAGGAAGGUGGGGAUGACGUCAAAUCAUCAUGCCCCUUAUGUCUUGGGCUUCACGCAUGCUACAAUGGCCGGUACAAAGGGCUGCAAUACCGUGAGGUGGAGCGAAUCCCAAAAAGCCGGUCCCAGUUCGGAUUGAGGUCUGCAACUCGUACCGUCAUGA
rnacentral:rRNA from 1 species